GCGAAUGGCUCAUUAAAUCAGUUAUCGUUUAUUUGAUAGUACCUUACUACUUGGAUAACCGUGGUAAUUCUAGAGCUAAUACAUGCUAAAAAUCCCGACCUCUGGAAGGGAUGUAUUUAUUAGAUAAAAAACCAAUGCCUUCGGGCUCCUUGGUGAUUCAUGAUAACUUUACGAAUCGCAUGGCCUUGUGCCGGCGAUGGUUCAUUCAAAUUUCUGCCCUAUCAACUUUCGAUGGUAGGAUAGUGGCCUACCAUGGUUUCAACGGGUAACGGGGAAUUAGGGUUCUAUUCCGGAGAGGGAGCCUGAGAAACGGCUACCACAUCCAAGGAAGGCAGCAGGCGCGCAAAUUACCCAAUCCCGACACGGGGAGGUAGUGACAAUAAAUACUGAUACAGGGCCCUUUCGGGUCUUGUAAUCGGAAUGAGUACAAUUUAAAUCCCUUAACGAGGAACAAUUGGAGGGCAA
rnacentral:rRNA from 1 species